CAGCCGCGGUAAUACGUAGGGUGCAAGCGUUGUCCGGAUUUAUUGGGCGUAAAGGGCUCGUAGGCGGUUUGAUAAGUCGGGUGUGAAACCUCCAGGCUCAACCUGGAGCCGCCACUCGAUACUGUCAUGACUAGAAUUCGGUAGGGGACCACGGAAUUCCUGGUGUAGCGGUGAAAUGCGCAGAUAUCAGGAGGAACACCAGCAGCGAAGGCGGUGGUCUGGGCCGACAUUGACGCUGAGGAGCGAAAGCGUGGGGAGCGAACAGGAUUAGAUACCCUGGUAGUCCACGCCGUAAACGUUGGGCACUAGGUGUGGGGACUAUUCAACGGUUUCCGUGCCGCAGCUAACGCAUUAA
rnacentral:rRNA from 1 species